rnacentral:rRNA from 1 species
UACGGAGGGGGCUAGCGUUGUUCGGAAUUACUGGGCGUAAAGCGCACGUAGGCGGUUUGUCACGUCGGAUGUGAAACCCCGGGGCUUAACUCCGGGCCUGCAUUCGAUACGGGCUGACUAGAGUUCGGCAGGGGAGACUGGAAUUCCUGGUGUAGCGGUGAAAUGCGCAGAUAUCAGGAGGAACACCGGUGGCGAAGGCGGGUCUCUGGGCCGAUACUGACGCUGAGGAGCGAAAGCGUGGGGAGCGAACAGG